GACGAACGCUGGCGGCGUGCCUAAUACAUGCAAGUCGAGCGAAGUGGAGAGAGCUUGCUCUCGAAGCUUAGCGGCGAACGGGUGAGUAACACGUGGGCAACCUGCCCGAUAGACCGGGAUAACUUGGGGAAACUCAAGCUAAUACCGGAUAGGAUCAUUAACCGCCUGGGUGGUGAUGGAAAGUCUGAACGACACUAUUGGAUGGGCCCGCGGCGCAUUAGCUAGUUGGUGGGGUAACGGCCUACCAAGGCGACGAUGCGUAGCCGACCUGAGAGGGUGACCGGCCACACUGGGACUGAGACACGGCCCAGACUCCUACGGGAGGCAGCAGUAGGGAAUCUUCCACAAUGGGCGAAAGCCUGAUGGAGCAACGCCGCGUGAGUGAUGAAGGUUUUCGGAUCGUAAAACUCUGUUGUUAGGGAAGAACACCCGGGAGAGGAUCCCGGUUUGACGGUACCUGACGAGAAAGCCCCGGCUAACUACGUGCCAGCAGCCGCCGUAA
rnacentral:rRNA from 1 species